CACCACAAUCAUCAUCAGGAUGCUCGGGAAGGCGGUGAAACUCCGCCACUGCCCCGCAACUGUAAGCGCGCGGGAGUUCGUUCUCGUCUUCAUCAUGAACGGAUUUCUGGAUAUAUGUCUGAGCCAUGGCCACUGGGGAGAUUUCUCCGGGAAGGCGGUUCAGAGUCAGGCGCAAGUCAGGAUACCGGUCCUCAGGUGCUAAUUAACC
rnacentral:ncRNA from 1 species